AGGACUGCAGCCUUGGGAAUUACCAGGCUGGAGCUCCCCAGCUCCUUUUGCCUUUCCCCAGCACUACUCUACCUCAGGUACCCUUCUGUCCCUCACAGACAGGUCCUUCUCUCUCCAGAGCUAGAGAGAGACUGACUCAGCUCCUGGCUCACAGCUAGGUUCACCA